rnacentral:piRNA from 1 species
UAGCAACGUGAGCGUCCUGCAGCAGU